rnacentral:lncRNA from 1 species
AAGCAUGUACCAACGAGUUAUCAGAGCUGCAUAGCAUAGAAUGUCUAAGGCAGUCACAUUACAAGACUCAAAUAAUGGAAUGCAGGGCCUAAAAUACUGAUUUAACCAAGCAAAAUUUUCUCAGAGUUUUCAUGAUAGUCCCAUAUGAGGUACAAUAAUAAAAGCCUACUUAUUCAAGCUAGAACUCAUUUAGACGAUGUAAUCACAUUAAAUUAAGAGAACAAAUCAGAGUAACGUUAUGGAUUCAACAAAAUAAACUAAUUGCUAUGUUUUGAAUUCUUCUUUUCUUUCAUCCUUCAAGUUCACUUCAUAACCAUUUAAACUCAAAAGAAUGUACCUGGAUAUUGAAUGAGCAAAGAAAAAAUGAAGGAUCGGCAAAGCGUCAGUAGCAGAACAGUCCAACACCCAGCAAUGAAAUAGUAUUUAUAAAUAAAGGAUUCAAGCCUAGCUUUAACUACCAAGUAUUCGAUCCAUUUCAAAUCAAAAUGCAAAACUUGUAGCUUUCACUGAUGUGGACUAAGCUAUUAAGAUCAGAAUAGCCAAAAGCUAAAGCAGAAUUUUCAAUAGUUUUCUGGAAAUUGCCCCGAAUUCAAAGUUGUUUAAGCAUAACUUCAAGAGAAGCUGCUGUUUCAAUUUUUCAGGUUUUUUUCUCUUGAAAAUCUGACUUGAGUAGCAAGUCUUGGUGUCUUUAUAGGCAAGACAUUAGGGCAUCUUAAUUGAACUAUAUUUUGCACUUCUACCUUUUUUGUAUCCUCAAAAGUCCUUUGUUUAAAUAUCAAAAAUAUUCAGAACAAUCCCCUUCCCCAGCUUCCUAUUCAGAUAUUCCUUAAGCCUAAGUUCCUAAACUACCCCUUAAGCACCUGAAAAUUACCCCUGGGCCAGGCAGCAAUAUGGGUCAAAUUGACCCAAUUACUAAAUCAGACCUGGGCCCCAAACAAACAAUGCGAAUCAUUUCCAAUUUGGCUUUCUGAUUUCAGAAACAAAAUUAACACUGAAAACCUAAGACUCUUGAGUAUUCAAAUUUCAGAGUCUUACAAAUUUGAACAAUUAUGCCCAAACAACAAAAAAAUUUAAACCCCUUUUUUAACAAAAUUAACUAAUCCUAUCAUUAUUACUUAUCCAAACUUAGAAACAGAUCCUUCAAUUUUUGGCUCAAUUUGAGGUUAAUCAUGUGUUUUUUAUCAAAAAAAAAACUAAAAUCAAAAUGGACCUAAAAUCUUCAAUGAACUCUUGAGCUGGAGAUUUUUGGGAUUUAGGGUUCAUCUUUGAUCUAAGAUUCGAACAGUUCUGCGGAAACUCGACAAAAACUGAGUGGGGAUUUGAAAUGAGGGAGGCUUGGGGGUUAUGUGGUGUUAAUUUGGGGGUGAGAGGAGGUGGCGUCAUCGACGGAUGGUGGUGGGAAAUCAGGGCGACGUUUAGGAUUUAUGUUUGGUCUCUGAAUGUGAGAUGAAAUGAUAGAGACGGGUUUGGG